rnacentral:sRNA from 1 species
CUCUUUCUCUUUCUCUUCUGGCCGACAGCCGCAGCAAUGGCGCUGAGUUCCUCUGCUGGAGUUCGUCCUGCUAACUGGGUUCCUGAGCUGCCGGUCUGACCCUGAGGCAUGGAGCCUCCUGGAGACUGGGGGCCUCCUCCCUGGAGAUCCGCCCCCAAAACCGACGUCUUGAGGCUGGUGCUGUAUCUCACCUUCCUGGGAGCCCCCUGCUACGCCCCAGCUCUGCCCUCCUGCAAAGAGGACGAGUACCCAGUGGGCUCUGAGUGCUGCCCCAAAUGCAGUCCAGGUUACCGUGUGAAGCAGGCCUGUGGGGAGCUGACGGGCACAGUGUGUGAACCCUGCCCUCCGGGGACCUACAUUGCCCACCUCAAUGGCCUGAGCAAGUGUCUGCAGUGCCAAAUGUGUGACCCAGCCAUGGGCCUGCGCGCGAGCCGGAACUGCUCCCGGACAGAGAAUGCCGUGUGUGGCUGCAGCCCAGGCCACUUCUGCAUCAUCCAGGAUGGGGACCACUGCGCCGCGUGCCGCGCUUACGCCACCUCCAGCCCGGGCCAGAGGGUGCAGAAGGGAGGCACCGAGAGUCAGGACACCCUGUGUCAGAACUGCCCCCCGGGGACCUUCUCUCCCAAUGGGACCCUGGAGGAAUGUCAGCACCAGACCAAGUAAGUGAACCCGGGGGAGGCCAAGCUCUGUGCCCUGGGGAGGGGGCUCCACGUUGCUUCCCUGGGAGAUGACCGUCUUCUCCAGCAGAAAGGAUUGAAGGUCCCACCCUGAGUGGCACCCUGGUCACAUGCCUGCGACCAGGAGAGCUGCAGGGCUGAAGCCUGUGUGCCCCAGAUAACCCCUUCCACGGGCCCAGACAAAGCCUUAUCAGAUCUGAGCUUCCUGGAGGCUCAGGAUGGGCCUUCCCAGAAGCAGGCCCAGAGGGAGGCUGCCUCCAGAGCCCCUGUCCCCUGGGGCUGUGGGUGUCCCUGAAUGUCAGGGCCAUGAGAGGGCCCCCGGGCUUCAGGGGUUGGGGAAAGUGAGCACUCUGCUCUUUGUCCGCCUACGGGAGGACACCUUCAAAUGCUGACCCUGGGCCCCUAACUGACCUGAGACUUCAGAGCUUCUUGGGAGGAGCUGGGGUCCCCCAGCGGAGCCUGGGAUGGGGCAGGGGUGGCUGCUCCAGGGAGGGGGCGGUGGGGCCUUCCAUCCUGCUCUGCCCUCCUCAUCCUCUGGUCCCAGCUCAGUCCUGUCCGUCUCCAGCUCCAACCAUUUCCGUCCCGACACUGGCUCUCCCUCUACCUUCUGUCCUUGUCUGCCACUGGUCUCCCGUGCUCUGGGGUCUCUGCACUGCUGGCUGCCUCCCGCUUCUCUCCCCUCUCCCUCUGCCAUCCUGUCUCCCUUGCCCAGUCUCUCCUUGUUUCUCUUCUCCUUCUUCCUUCUCUCCACCUCCCCAUAGCCGAGCUUGGAAAAGUCAGACAGACCUCUGAGGUCUCAUCCU